UGGAAAACCUCAGCUUCCUUACAGUCACUAAAGAGGAUUGUGUUUUACUUAGAUCACAAAUUAUAUUUCUUCAGCAGCUGUUGAAAUUAGGAGAUCAUCCAAGUCAGUUAAAGAUAUCUUCCUAAGGACGUAAACAGUGCAUGACAGAGCCUGAGGGCCAGCAGAGCUCAUAGCCAGCUGCUGAGGCCACCCCAGCUGAUGGGAGCUGCCCACCAGCAGAAAUCUGUGCACAAGAAGCCACUGUGACCCCCAGGCUGGGUGAGAAAAAAGACAGUGAGUGGGGGAAACACAGCACAGCUGCUUUUGGACCCUCUUUCUCUUUGGAAAGCUAUCAUCUGUUCCCAGUAUUGAUACCUGAUCCUGCCCCAGCAUGGAGGGACUGGAUGAGCAACUCUCCCAGGUGGGCCUCCCAGAGCCCUCCAGCGCUUGGAUCCAGAAGGCAACUUUCCCAUAUCUAUGGGUGCUUGGCUCCAGUGUUUUGGCUGGGGUUUUGGCAUCUCUCCUUUCUCUGACACAAC